UUACGGUCACAUCACGUUGAAACUCCGGUUCACGUCCGAUUACCGAAGUUAAGCAAUAUCGAGCCUGGUCAGUAGCUAGAUGGGUAACCUCUUAGGAAUAACAUGUGCUGCAAG